AAUAAACUGACAUUAUUAUAAUGCUUGGAUUUUAUAAGAAACAAAAUUUUGGCAGUUCAGUGAAAUUUGAAUGGCUGUAUAGCUUUAAAUGUGUGAUUCCAUAU